UGCUGAUUCUGAUUACAAUUAUGAAGAUUAUUCAUCCAGCGGGGACCAAACCGAUCCAUCAGCCGAUGAACCGGACCCUCUCCAAGCUCCACGGCUGGAUGGAGAAAUCCCCUCCAUGUUAUCCUCAGUGGCUGUUUCCCUGAGCGUUGCUGAUCCGGAGAACGUGGCCGCCGUCGGGCUGCUGUCUGCCCUCUCAGCUCUGCUGGUGCUGGGAUGAAAACGGGCCAUAAAAAUGCAGACAUUUGAGUUGUAGGUUUGUUUGUAGGCCUGCAUGUGUUACCAUGGAUGCUCUGGUCUGCAGAGGAGACCAACCUCCCAGUUUUAAUUGAAUUGUAACGUGUUUUCUUUAUGAUAAUAAAUUUGUUGAGUUCA